rnacentral:rRNA from 1 species
GCUGGUGAGUUUGCGUGCGGGGAAACACCUGUUCCCAUUCCGAACACAGUAGUGAAGCCCGUACGGCCGAUGGUAGUCCCGAGUGGCGAGAGUAGGUGAUUGCCAGCU